UAGGGAAUCUUCGGCAAUGGACGAAAGUCUGACCGAGCAACGCCGCGUGAGUGAAGAAGGUUUUCGGAUCGUAAAACUCUGUUGUUAGAGAAGAACAAGGACGUUAGUAACUGAACGUCCCCUGACGGUAUCUAACCAGAAAGCCAUGGCUAACUACGUGCCAGCAGCCGCGGUAAUACGUAGGUGGCAAGCGUUGUCCGGAUUUAUUGGGCGUAAAGCGAGCGCAGGCGGUUUCUUAAGUCUGAUGUGAAAGCCCCCGGCUCAACCGGGGAGGGUCAUUGGAAACUGGGAGACUUGAGUGCAGAAGAGGAGAGUGGAAUUCCAUGUGUAGCGGUGAAAUGCGUAGAUAUAUGGAGGAACACCAGUGGCGAAGGCGGCUCUCUGGUCUGUAACUGACGCUGAGGCUCGAAAGCGUGGGGAGCAAACAGG
rnacentral:rRNA from 1 species